GUCCACGCCGUAAACGAUGAGAACUAGAUGUUAGGGGGCUUAGACCUUUUAGUAUCGCAGCAAACGCGUUAAGUUCUCCGCCUGGGGAGUACGGCCGCAAGGUUAAAACUCAAAGGAAUUGACGGGGGCCCGCACAAGCGGUGGAGCAUGUGGUUUAAUUCGAUGCAACGCGAAGAACCUUACCUACCUUUGAAUCCACGGAAUUUUACUGAGAAGUAGAAGUGCCUUCGGGAACCGUGAGACAGGUGCUGCAUGGCUGUCGU
rnacentral:rRNA from 1 species